rnacentral:rRNA from 1 species
AUUGAACGCUGGCGGCAGGCCUAACACAUGCAAGUCGAGCGAGCGGCGGACGGGUGAGUAAUGCCUGGGAAUUGCCCAGUCGAGGGGGAUAACAGUUGGAAACGACUGCUAAUACCGCAUACGAUGGGAUUGCCCAGGUGGGAUGAGCUAGUUGGUGAGGUAAUGGCUCACCAAGGCGACGAUCCCUAGCUGGUCUGAGAGGAUGAUCAGCAACACGGGAGCUGAGACACGGGCCAGACACCUACAGUAGGCAUCAGUGGAGAAUAUUGCGCGAUGAGGAAAGCGCUGAUGCAGCCCUACCGCGUGUAUGAAGAAGGACUUCGGGUUGUGAAGCACUUUCAGCGAUGAGGCGUUACUCGCAGAAAAAGCACCGGCUAACUCCGUGCCAGCCGCCGCGGUAAUAC